rnacentral:pre_miRNA from 1 species
GUUGUGGGGAAUGUUGUUUGGAUCGAGGAUAUCAUAAACGCAUACACAUGUUUAUAUGUUAUGAUGCAUUAUAUGAUUGUGUAAUGUACAUAUAUAUAUACAUGGUAUCGUCGGACCAGGCUUCAUCCCCCUCAAC